UCUGCCUGGGCUGGCUUUGCACUCCUCAGAUCUCAACCUCCUGGGUAGUUAGGAUUACAGGAGCCAGAGUUGCUGGUUCUGGGGUCCUACUAUGUGCCAGACGCUGCUGGGGGCUUUUUAUUAUGCAUUUCCACAUUUAACGCCCCAGUAGCCUGCCCGAACCCAAGGCAAUCUGCCCAUAUUAUGGGCAAAGAAAUUGAGGACCAGACAUGUUGUGUGACCUGCUGGAGGUGACUAACUCUAUGUGGUGCAUUUCUCCGAGUGCCAGAAGCCCCGAAUAGGAGUCCUUUCCUCUCCGAUGUGAGGAGGGUUGGGCAGGCACACAAACGAGGAAACUGGGGCAGG